AGUAGGAUAGCUGAGUCACAUGGUGUUUCAUUCCCAAUUUUCUGAGGAAUCUCCAUACUGCUUUCCAUACUGGUUAUACCAAUUUUCAAUCCCACCAGCAAU
rnacentral:pre_miRNA from 1 species